rnacentral:tRNA from 1 species
GGCUCCAUAGUGCAGUGGUUAGCACGUCUGGUUUGCACACAGAAGGUCCUGGGUUCGUGCCCCAGGGGGAGCCA